UUAAUUGAUUUACUUAAUUAGUAGAUUUAGUGCUAGGUUUAGUUAAUUAGUGUUGGGUUAUUUGUUAUUUUUUUUGCUAUUUUUGUUGUCUUUGUUAAUUAUAGGUAGAUUUUCUUUUGUUAAUUAGUGGUGGAUUCUUUUUUAGUUAAUUAGUGGUAGAUUCUGUUUUCAUUAAUGUUUUGAUGUUUAGUGCUAUAUAAGUUUAGUGGUAGGUUUAGUGCUAGGUUUAGUUACUUAGUCAUAAUUAAAAUAAGUAGAAAAAAUAUGAAGAAUAAGUAGAUAAGGGAAGAAGAAUAAGAAGAG
rnacentral:lncRNA from 1 species